rnacentral:rRNA from 1 species
UACGAACCGUCCAAACGUUAUUCGGAAUCACUGGGCUUACAGAGUUCGUAGGCGGUCUGGCAAGUUGGGUGUGAAAUCCCUCGGCCUAACCGAGGAACUGCGCUUGAAACUACCAGACUCGAGGGAGAUAGAGGAAAGCGGAACUGAUGGUGGAGCGGUGAAAUGCGUUGAUAUCAUCAGGAACACCGGUGGCGAAGGCGGCUUUCUGGGUCUUACCUGACGCUGAGGAGCGAAAGCCAGGGGAGCGAACGGG